ACAGAGGUCCCAAGCGUUGUUCGGAUUCACUGGGCGUAAAGGGUGCGUAGGCGGUCGGGUAAGUCUGAUGUGAAAUCCCGAAGCUUAACUUCGGAAUGGCAUUGGAUACUAUCCGGCUUGAGGAUCGGAGGGGGGACUGGAAUUCUCGGUGUAGCAGUGAAAUGCGUAGAUAUCGAGAGGAACACCAGUGGCGAAGGCGAGUCCCUAGACGAUUCCUAACGCUGAGGCACGAAAGCUAGGGGAGCAAACAG
rnacentral:rRNA from 1 species